UGUGUAUGUAGUCGGCCUACGCCCCGGACGCGACAACAUACCUCUGGCUGCUGGCCUCUUCAACAGGGACGUCUACCUUGAAGCAACGCGGCGGCGAGUGGCUGCGAUCAGCGCCCCCUUCAUGCUGCUGCAGCAGACCGCCGAGCUGAGCGAGAGCAACGCGACGAGUGAGGCGCCAUCUGGUGAGAAGAACAACGAGAAAGCGGCGAGCUCACGACGAAGCACGAAGAACAGCUUUGCUGCACCGAAAACAAGCAGUAGCGUCUGUUCGCUGCAGUGACGCGUGCAUCACCAACACACGGGUGACGAUGUUCGUACGUCACCAACACGCGUGUGACGAUGUUCGUACGUCACCAACACACGCGUGACGAUGUUUAUACGUCACCAACACGCACGUGACGAUGUUCGUACGUCACCAACACACGUGUGACGAUGUUCGUACGUCACCAACACGCACGUGACGAUGUGUGUGAUGGUGGCAGCUGCAGCAGCAGCAGCAUCAUGGCUUGAACCAGGAUCCUGUGAUGGUGUGGAGGGAUCAUUGCACCAUGGCUUGAACCAGGAUCCUGUGAUUGUGUGGAGGGAUCAUUGCACCAUGGCUUGAACCAGGAUCCUGUGAUUGUGUGGAGGGAUCAUUGCACCAUGGCUUGAACCAGGAUCCUGUGAUUGUGUGGAGGGAUCAUUGCACCAUGGCUUGAACCAGGAUCGUGUUAUUGUGUGGACAGGGCCGAAUGCCAGAGCUUGAUCUAGUCACCCUAUCAUUGUGUGGAGGGAAAACUGCAGCAGAUCUUGACAGCCAACAAACAGGGUUUAGACCUGAACGAGGACGUGAGAGAGACGUGAGACACUGACAGCCAUGACUCGCCCUGGCAGUUUUACUGUGUUGCUGUAUAGUAUUUUAUAGAGUAUAUGUUAAAUGCUGGGUGACGUCUAGCUUCCCGUGAUCAAUCCUAGUGUUUGUUUGUAACUUAGAGACAUAUGACCGGGGGGGGGGGGAAAUCGGUGAAUCCGUCCUCUCGCGCACGCACGCACGCACGCACGCAUGCACACACCAAGCCUAUGUUCAUACGUGCAUGUUAUAUCUGUGUACUGCCACCUUGUGUUGAUCUUAGCAAGAUUCUAAGCUUAUGUGAUAUUCAUGUUUGUGUGUGGUUCAUUGUAUAAGUCGCCAUAUGUCGUCAAUAAUGUCCAGACUUGUUGUACACAAGUGACUAUCUCACCUAGUUAUUCAGACUGUGAGACCGAUUGGCUUUGCUCAAAUAUAUAUAUAAAGCCAAGCAGGGUCUUACAUCUGCAGUGAUGAGAUAUGUGGCAUUCAGUAAUAUUGGAAUCUCAUCUAAACACUAGAAGGCUCACAAAUAUUGUGUCAGGGAUCUUACGUGACAGUGAUUUUUAGCUUGCCUUGACAUCAUCAAGAUGAGCUAUUGCCAUGGGAUGUCGUCCGUCCGUCCGUCAACAUUUGGCUACGGUCAAUGAUAACUCAAGA